rnacentral:rRNA from 1 species
GACAGAGGGUGCAAACGUUGCUCGGAAUCACUGGGCGUAAAGGGCGUGUAGGCGGGAAUGUAAGUCGGGCGUGAAAGCCCCAGGCUCAACCUGGGAACUGCACUCGAAACUGCGUUUCUUGAGUAUCGGAGAGGAAAGCGGAAUACCUGGUGUAGAGGUGAAAUUCGUAGAUAUCAGGUGGAACACCAGUGGCGAAGGCGGCUUUCUGGACGGUAACUGACGCUGAGACGCGAAAGCGUGGGGAGCAAACAGG